CCAAGUGAAAGUAUAUACUAUAAAAAAGAAAAAGAAAAACAAAUUAUAUUAUACAAUUUUCAAAACAUUAAUGUAUGUAAGUAUCUACAUUGGGGUUUAUGUAUUGAAUACACAGCUUUAUUACAAGCAUUCAACAAACCAACACAAAAAUAUAAAUAAAUAAAAAGAAUUCCCCUUUGAAUAGCAACAAAUGCGCAUUUUGGGAAACACCUGUCGUCGGGUCGGUUACGAGGAGCCUGCC
rnacentral:lncRNA from 1 species